AUGACUGCUGUGAUGCCAAAAGCCACAAGCCAAUGUGUUACCUCCCACUUUGCAAAAGACGUUUGCUCUGAAGAUACACGCAAAAUCAGGGAUGGCAACCUCAAAGCAGGAAUACUGGCAGUGACUUGGGUAUGCCAAAUAGCAGGUGUUUGAAGGAAGCCAGUUAAGGUUUUGUCUCAGUAUUUACUGGCAAGAAAUGGCUGUUUUUCUUGAUCCUUGAUUUCACUGGCUCAAUGCAUCCUCUCUUGCAGAAUACCAUCCACGAGGAGGUGCAUGAUCCAUGAGAAUUUUCUCUUCUAGAUUCUUCCCACAUACUUUCCAUUAGGAGAGCAGGAUAUUUUUUCUAUUUCCAGUGCCAAUCCAAAUCAUUCAGAUGUGCAGAAAAACAUGAGCAUUCUUUAAGGAGCUCUGUACUCUAAGCACAUCCUAAAACCUCUUUGAGGACUAACCACUUUUCUAAGUAAUCACUGGAAGUAGGGAAAUAGGAGGUAGAUGCAAGCAGCAGAACAGCACACAGUAUUCCAGGCAUGAGAAAAUUGUGGCAUUAUAGACUGGCAUAAUUAUAUUUCCUGGUUUUUUCUUUUUUCCUUUUCUAACAAUCAUUUGCAUUUUUGGAUUGGUGCCAUGCACUGAGUUGAUGUUUUUAUGAAAAAGUCUAUCUAUCACAAUUGGAAACUUCUGAGUGGUAACAGGCAACUCAGAGUUCAUCACUUUAUUCCUAAAGCCAAGAACACUAGCCUACCUAUAGAAUUUCACAUUUACCUACACUAAAUUUCCUCUGCCAUUUUAUUUACCAGUUACUUAAUCUUAAGGCACAUUUACAGCUCUCUGCACAGCUCCCACACAACCUACAUUGAGUAAAUGUAUACCCUCAGCAAAUAUUUCUACUUCACUGCUAAGAUCUUCUUCCAAUCAAUUCUUGAGUUUGUUAGGAAAAAUCAAUCCCCUGCAGAAUUCUGCUGGUGAUUUCUCUCUGUGUCCUCCCUGUGCUCAGGUGGUUGAAGCCUUGGUGCUGGGGAAUGUGGCAUUCAGCAUGGCUCUGUAAAGGUGCUGGGGAGCUGCAUGGUCCUUUGUUUGGGAUUUCCUGGGUGAGAAUCAUCAACUCUCUGUGCUGUGCUCUGUCCCUUGCACUGGGAUCUGCACACCAGAAGAGCUGGUCAGCCUGAUCUGUGCCUUCCUCUGUGCCUGGCAUGCUGGGCAGAAGGUGAGGGGAUUAUUUGGCAUUUCCCAGCAGUGGAGGACAGUGUGAUUGCUAUCAAGAUUCUGCAUAACUGAGGUCUUCUCGAAAGGGACUUUUCCUAUAUGCAGUCCAGACUGUUCUUUGUCAUGUGAUUUGACACCCGUGUUACACAUCCCUUUUUGUAUGAUCAGACACACAUAAAAAAGAAUGAGCUUCAGAAGUCUAAGUUCACACAGAAAGUAGGACACUAAUAGCCUUUGCUUAAGGAAUGUUUUGGGGCAUAGAAGAAGUGUUUUAGAACAAAGGAAGAUUAACAGUACACAGCCUUGUGACCCAGUACUCAGGACCCAAUACAGCAGUUCACUAGAGAAACUGUAGAAGAUGAGCAGAAAGUCCAUGGUAAUAUGGUUUGUUUUCAUAAACAUAUGCAAAAAAAGGAAUCGUAUAUUAAUCUAUUGGAUGUGAAUGAGCAUAGCCAGAUAAAUAAAACCUAAAUAUUUGAAUAGCUGUGGCUUUUG
ensembl:lncRNA